rnacentral:rRNA from 1 species
UGGUGCAAAGGGAGCAUAAUCAUUUGUCUCUUAAUUGGAGUCUGGUAUGAAUGGUUGGAUGAAAAAUUUACUUUCUUUAUUUUUGAUAUAAAAAUUGAUUUCUAAUUCAAAAAGCUUAGAUUUUAUUAAAGGACGAGAAGACCCUAUAGAACUUUAUUUUUUCUUAAAUUAUUAUUUUUUUGAAAAUAUUUUUUCUAAAUUUAAGAAAAAGUUUUGUUGGGGUGACAAAAAAAUUUUUAUAACUUUUUUUAUUUAUAUCAUUUAUUUAUGAACUUUUGAUCCUUUAUUAUGGAAUUAAGAUUAAGUUACCUUAGGGAUAACAGCGUUAUUAUUUUGGAGAGUUCAUAUCGAUAAAAUAGUUUGCGACCUCGAUGUUGGAUUAAAAUAAGUUCUGGGGGUAGUAUAUCAGUUACUAGGUCUGUUCGACCU